GACGAACGUUGGCGGUGUGCUUAACACAUGCAAGUCGAACGGAAAGGCCCUGCUUUUGUGGGGUGCUCGAGUGGCGAACGGGUGAGUAACACGUGAGUAACCUGCCCUUGACUUUGGGAUAACUUCAGGAAACUGGGGCUAAUACCGGAUAGGAGCUCCUGCUGCAUGGUGGGGGUUGGAAAGUUUCGGCGGUUGGGGAUGGACUCGCGGCUUAUCAGCUUGUUGGUGGGGCAGUGGCUUACCAAGGCUUUGACGGGUAGCCGGCCUGAGAGGGUGACCGGCCACAUUGGGACUGAGAUACGGCCCAGACUCCUACGGGAGGCAGCAGUGGGGAAUAUUGCACAAUGGGCGGAAGCCUGAUGCAGCAACGCCGCGUGCGGGAUGACGGCCUUCGGGUUGUAAACCGCUUUCGCCUGUGACGAAGCGUGAGUGACGGUAAUGGGUAAAGAAGCACCGGCUAACUACGUGCCAGCAGCCGCGGUGAUACGUAGGGUGCGAGCGUUGUCCGGAUUUAUUGGGCGUAAAGGGCUCGUAGGUGGUUGAUCGCGUCGGAAGUGUAAUCUUGGGGCUUAACCCUGAGCGUGCUUUCGAUACGGGUUGACUUGAGGAAGGUAGGGGAGAAUGGAAUUCCUGGUGGAGCGGUGGAAUGCGCAGAUAUCAGGAGGAACACCAGUGGCGAAGGCGGUUCUCUGGGCCUUUCCUGACGCUGAGGAGCGAAAGCGUGGGGAGCGAACAGGCUUAGAUACCCUGGUAGUCCACGCUGUAAACGGUGGGUACUAGGUGUGGGGUCCAUUCCACGGGUUCCGUGCCGUAGCUAACGCUUUAAGUACCCCGCCUGGGGAGUACGGCCGCAAGGCUAAAACUCAAAGGAAUUGACGGGGCCCCGCACAAGCGGCGGAGCAUGCGGAUUAAUUCGAUGCAACGCGUAGAACCUUACCUGGGUUUGACAUGGAUCGGGAGUGCUCAGAGAUGGGUGUGCCUCUUUUGGGGUCGGUUCACAGGUGGUGCAUGCCUGUCGUCAGCUCGUGUCGUGAGAUGUUGGGUUAAGUCCCGCAACGAGCGCAACCCUUGUUCACUGUUGCCAGCACGUUAUGGUGGGGACUCAGUGGAGACCGCCGGGGUCAACUCGGAGGAAGGUGGGGAUGACGUCAAGUCCUCAUGCCCCUUAUGUCCAGGGCUUCACGCAUGCUACAAUGGCUGGUACAGAGAGUGGCGAGCCUGUGAGGGUGAGCGAAUCUCGGAAAGCCGGUCUCAGUUCGGAUUGGGGUCUGCAACUCGACCUCAUGAAGUCGGAGUCGCUAGUAAUCGCAAAUCAGCAACGCUGCGGUGAAUACGUUCCCGGG
rnacentral:rRNA from 1 species